rnacentral:lncRNA from 1 species
GAGGGGCUCGGUGCAGGCUAAUCCACGCGCGGAGUCCAGGGUCCCUCUACAGCGGUUUCCCUGGGAACCACUCUGGCUGGAAAUCCUGUGGCUGCCUUUGGAGGAUGUGAACUCUCCUGGGAUGAUGUACAUUCCAAAUAGCGAGUGCACAGGCUAGACCUUCAGUGUUCAGUAACGAGACCGACCUGAUCCUGAUCAGUAGUCAGGGGUUGCCGGCAGUGGAAGAACAAAGAGAUGCUCUGUACCCACUGAAGACGAAGGCUAUGGGCUGACAAGCCUAGCAUCGGUGGUCAGCCAUUUUGCCAUUAGUGCUAUGAAGAGAAGGCCUUUUCCUCAGGACCAGAAGUGCUCUGCGCUCUGCUAUUAACCCCAUGAAAAGAGUUCUUUCCAGAUAAGCGGAUACUUGCGGCUGCGUGGAGUGGAUCCCAGUCCCAGUUUGCUACCAGCAAUCCCAACCCAAGACACAGAUGAGCAUUGUCUGGGAAAGCACACUGUCGUCACCUGCCUCCCCCAUCCCGGUCCCCACCACUCUCUGACUGAUGCCAUCGCCUAGAUGAUAAAGCGCCCGUCACUCAAGCACAGAAGUCGAAAUUCAUAGUUCAUUUCUUUACUUAUACUUUCCAGAUUUGGAGACGUGCCACGCAGUGGAGCGUGAUGACUGUCCAAGAGCUGUUAAGGAGCUACCUCGUGCCCCCGACCACAACCCCCUGCGCGCGCCCCCUGGCGGGGAAGAGGCUUGGCCCCCAUGGGAUAUCAGAAGCAGGAGAACCCUAAGAAAGCGCCCCUCCCUCUGUGCUUGAGGAGACUACUCCGAAGUGGGAUUUCUUCCCGCAAACUUUUCCAGAAGAAUCCGGCGUGAGAAGUAGACACACCUGCUGAAACCGGCCAGCACAGCUACGCAUCCCAUCACUUCAUUGUUUCUGGAUUAACUUCCGGUUGUUUUGUUUUAUUUAACUUUCUCCUUCACCAGCCUUGCUUGCUUUUCCCAAAUAAAGUGGACCCCGAUAA